AGAAAGCGUAGUUGAGACAGAAAACAAGGGUCGAGGAUCACGAGAAACAAACAAACUAGAACGGCUUGGUAACGCAGAGAAACGAGCUACUGAGCGUAUACUUCGCGUAUAAACUGGGUGAAUGACUUCCCUAAAUACUAGCGGUGAGUGUGUGUGAUUGGUGCCAGGUAAAGCGUAGUCGAGACAGAAAACAAGGGUCGAGGAUCACGAGAAACAAACAAACUAGAACGGCUUGGUAACGCAGAGAAACGAGCUACUGAGCGUAUACUUCGCGUAUAAACUGGGUGAAUGACUUCCCUAAAUACUAGCGGUGAGUGUGUGUGAUUGGUGCCAGGUGUGACUGAUCAGAACUCUGGGGAUGGUGAGCGCAUGCGUGCAUGAGAAGUGAGUGUUGCAUCUUGGGAAUUUGAGUUCUGAUUGGGCCGAGCUGUGACAGUCGGUGAAUAAGCGGUUGUAACUCUCCUUCAUAAGCCUAUGACUAACUGUCCCUGCAAAUGGAUCUCUGCUUAGGGUAUCAGCCGCAAUGUUCUUGACUCCUGCAAUAUGUUUUAUGUCAAAAGUAAGGGGAUAGUUUUGAAACUCACAUUUGCUCAC
ensembl:lncRNA